AUUGAACGCUGGCGGCAUGCUUUACACAUGCCAGUCGAACGGUAACAGGCCGCAAGGUGCUGACGAGUGGCAAACGGGUGAGUAAUGCAUCGGAACGUGCCCAGUCGUGGGGGAUAACUACUCGAAAGAGUAGCUAAUACCGCAUACGAUCUAUGGAUGAAAGCGGGGGACCGUAAGGCCUCGCGCGAUUGGAGCGGCCGAUGUCAGAUUAGGUAGUUGGUGGGGUAAAGGCUCACCAAGCCAACGAUCUGUAGCUGGUCUGAGAGGACGACCAGCCACACUGGGACUGAGACACGGCCCAGACUCCUACGGGAGGCAGCAGUGGGGAAUUUUGGACAAUGGGCGCAAGCCUGAUCCAGCAAUGCCGCGUGCAGGAAGAAGGCCUUCGGGUUGUAAACUGCUUUUGUACGGAACGAAACGGCUCUGGUUAAUACCCGGGGCUAAUGACGGUACCGUAAGAAUAAGCACCGGCUAACUACGUG
rnacentral:rRNA from 1 species